UAUCCGGAUUUAUUGGGUUUAAAGGGUGCGUAGGCGGUUUAUUAAGUUAGUGGUUAAAUAUUUGAGCUAAACUCAAUUGUGCCAUUAAUACUGGUAAACUGGAGUACAGACGAGGUAGGCGGAAUGUAAGUUAAGUAGCGGUGAAAUGCUUAGAUAUAACUUAGAACUCCGAUAGCGAAGGCAGCUUACCAGACUGUAACUGACGCUGAUGCACGAGAGCGUGGGUAGCGAACAGGAUUAGAUACCCUGGUAGUCCACGCCGUAAACGAUGCUCACUGGUUCUGUGCGAUAUAUUGUACGGGAUUAAGCGAAAGUAUUAAGUGAGCCACCUGGGGAGUACGUCGGCAACGAUGAAACUCAAAGGAAUUGACGGGGGCCCGCACAAGCGGAGGAACAUGUGGUUUAAUUCGAUGAUACGCGAGGAACCUUACCUGGGUUUAAAUGGGAAAUGCCGUAUUUGGAAACAGAUAUUCUCUUCGGAGCGUUUUUCAAGGUGCUGCAUGGUUGUCGUCAGCUCGUGCCGUGAGGUGUCGGGUUAAGUCCCAUAACGAGCGCAACCCUUACCGUUAGUUGCUAGCAUGUAAUGAUGAGCACUCUAACGGGACUGCCACCGUAAGGUGAGAGGAAGGCGGGGAUGACGUCAAAUCAGCACGGCCCUUACACCCAGGGCUACACACGUGUUACAAUGGCCGGUACAGAGGGCCGCUACCAGGUGACUGGAUGCCAAUCUCAAAAGCCGGUCGUAGUUCGGAUUGGAGUCUGUAACCCGACUCCAUGAAGUUGGAUUCGCUAGUAAUCGCGCAUCAGCCAU
rnacentral:rRNA from 1 species